rnacentral:rRNA from 1 species
GACGGAGGAUGCAAGCGUUAUCCGGAAUUAUUGGGCGUAAAGCGUCCGCAGGUGGACAUACAAGUCUGCUGUCAAAGUGCAGAGCUUAACUCUGUAAAGGCGGUGGAAACUGUAGGUCUUGAGUAUGGUAGGGGUAGAGGGAAUUCCCGGUGUAGCGGUGAAAUGCGUAGAUAUCGGGAAGAACCCCAGUGGCGAAAGCGCUCUACUGGGCCAUAACUGACACUGAGGGACGAAAGCUAGGGGAGCGAAAGGG